rnacentral:rRNA from 1 species
UUGGAGGGCAAGUCUGGUGCCAGCAGCCGCGGUAAUUCCAGCUCCAAUAGCGUAUAUUAAAGUUGUUGCAGUUAAAAAGCUCGUAGUUGAAUUUCGGGAUCAAUGUUUCGGUCAUGCCGUUGGUAUGUACUGAUAUUAUUGAUUUCUCACCUUCUAAGGAACCGUAAUGCCAUUAAUUUGGUGUCACGGGGAAUUAGGACUGUUACCUUGAAAAAAUUAGAGUGUUUAAAGCAGGCUCACGCUUGAAUACAUUAGCAUGGAAUAAUGAAAUAGGACAUCCGAUUCUAUUUUGUUGGUUUCUAGGAUCGAUGUAAUGAUUAAUAGGGAUAGUUGGGGGCAUUAGUAUUCAAUUGUCAGAGGUGAAAUUCUUGGAUUUAUUGAAGACUAACUACUGCGAAAGCAUUUGCCAAGGAUGUUUUCAUUAAUCAAGAACGAAAGUUAGGGGAUCGAAGACGAUCAGAUACCGUCGUAGUCUUAACCAUAAACUAUGCCGACUAGGGAUCGGAUGAUGUUAAUUUUUUAAUGACUCAUUCGGCGCCUUACGGGAAACCAAAGUGUUUGGGUUC